CCUACGGGGAGCUGCAGUGGGGAAUAUUGGACAAUGGGCGAAAGCCUGAUCCAGCCAUGCCGCGUCUGUGAAGAAGGCCUUCGGGUUGUAAAGCACUUUCAGUGGGGAAGAAAGCCUUGGGGCUAAUACCCUCGAGGAAGGACAUCACCCACAGAAGAAGCACCGGCUAACUCCGUGCCAGCAGCCGCGGUAAUACGGAGGGUGCGAGCGUUAAUCGGAAUUACUGGGCGUAAAGCGCGCGUAGGCGGUCUGAUAAGCCGGUUGUGAAAGCCCCGGGCUCAACCUGGGAACGGCAUCCGGAACUGUCAGGCUAGAGUGCAGGAGAGGAAGGUAGAAUUCCCGGUGUAGCGGUGAAAUGCGUAGAGAUCGGGAGGAAUACCAGUGGCGAAGGCGGCCUUCUGGACUGACACUGACGCUGAGGUGCGAAAGCGUGGGUAGCAAACAGGAUUAGAUACCCGGGUAGUC
rnacentral:rRNA from 1 species